rnacentral:rRNA from 1 species
AACCUGCCCUGUACAGGGGGAUAACAGUUAGAAAUGACUGCUAAAACCGCAUAAGCGCACAUUGUCGAGUGACAGAGUGUGAAAAACUCCGGUGGUAUGAGAUGGACCCGCGUCUGAUUAGCUAGUUGGUGAGGUAACGGCCCACCAAGGCGACGAUCAGUAGCCGGCCUGAGAGGGCGACCGGCCACAUUGGGACUGAGACACGGCCCAGACUCCUACGGGAGGCAGCAGUGGGGGAUAUUGCACAAUGGGGGAAACCCUGAUGCAGUGACGCCGCGUGAGUGAAGAAGUAAUUCGUUAUGUAAAGCUCUAUCAGCAGGGAAGAAACAGACGGUACCUGAGUAAGAAGCCCCGGCUAACUACGUGCCAGCAGCCGCGGUAAUACGUAGGGGGCAAGCGUUAUCCGGAUUUACUGGGUGUAAAGGGAGCGUAGACGGCUGUGCAAGUCUGAAGUGAAAGCCCAGGGCUCAACCCUGGGACUGCUUUGGAAACUGUGGAGCUAGAGUGCUGGAGAGGUAAGUGGAAUUCCUAGUGUAGCGGUGAAAUGCGUAGAUAUUAGGAGGAACACCAGUGGCGAAGGCGGCUUACUGGACAGUAACUGACGUUGAGGCUCGAAAGCGUGGGGAGCAAACAGGAUUAGAUACCCUGGUAGUCCACGCGGUAAACGAUGAAUACUAGGUGU